rnacentral:rRNA from 1 species
UACGUAGGGUGCGAGCGUUGUCCGGAAUUAUUGGGCGUAAAGAGCUCGUAGGCGGUGUGUCACGUCGUUCGUGAAAACCUGCAGCUUAACUGUGGGCGUGCGGUCGAUACGGGCAUCACUGGAGUUCGGCAGGGGAGACUGGAAUUCCUGGUGUAGCGGUGGAAUGCGCAGAUAUCAGGAGGAACACCGGUGGCGAAGGCGGGUCUCUGGGCAGUAACUGACGCUGAGGAGCGAAAGCAUGGGGAGCGAACAGG